rnacentral:rRNA from 1 species
UACGUAGGGCGCGAGCGUUGUCCGGAAUUAUUGGGCGUAAAGAGCUCGUAGGCGGCCUGUUGCGUCCGCUGUGAAAUCCCAGGGCUCAACCCUGGGCGUGCAGUGGAUACGGGCAGGCUGGAGGCAGGCAGGGGAGAACGGAAUUCCUGGUGUAGCGGUGAAAUGCGCAGAUAUCAGGAAGAACACCUAUGGCGAAGGCAGCUCUCUGGGACGGUACUGACGCUGAGACGCGAAAGCGUGGGGAGCGAACAGG